GCCCUCAUAGCUCAGGGGUAGAGCACUCCCUUGGUAAGGGAGAGGUCGAAAGUUCGAAUCUUUCUGAGGGCACCA
rnacentral:tRNA from 2 species